rnacentral:rRNA from 1 species
CAGCCGCCACGGUAACACGGAGGGUGCAAGCGUUAAUCGGAAUUACUGGGCGUAAAGCGCACGCAGGCGGUUUGUUAAGUCAGAUGUGAAAUCCCCGAGCUUAACUUGGGAACUGCAUUUGAAACUGGCAAGCUAGAGUCUUGUAGAGGGGGGUAGAAUUCCAGGUGUAGCGGUGAAAUGCGUAGAGAUCUGGAGGAAUACCGGUGGCGAAGGCGGCCCCCUGGACAAAGACUGACGCUCAGGUGCGAAAGCGUGUGGAGCAAACAGGAUUAGAUACCCCAGUAGUCCCUGUCUCUUAUAC